UCAGGAUGAACGCUGGCGGCGUGCUUAACACAUGCAAGUCGAACGGAGUUAUCUCGCUGAGGAGAGCUUGCUCAAAUCUUGAGGUAACUAGUGGCGGACGGGUGAGUAACGCGUGGGUAACCUGCCGUAUGCUGGGGGGACAACAGUUGGAAACGACUGCUAAUACCGCAUAAGCGCACAGAUAGGCAUCUAUCAGUGUGAAAAACUCCGGUGGCAUACGAUGGACCCGCGUCUGAUUAGCCAGUUGGCGGUGUAACGGACCACCAAAGCGACGAUCAGUAGCCGGCCUGAGAGGGUGAACGGCCACAUUGGGACUGAGACACGGCCCAAACUCCUACGGGAGGCAGCAGUGGGGAAUAUUGGACAAUGGGGGAAACCCUGAUCCCAGCGACGCCGCGUGAGUGAAGAAGUAUUUCGGUAUGUAAAGCUCUAUCAGCAGGAAAGAAAAUGACGGUACCUGACUAAGAAGCCCCGGCUAACUACGUGCCAGCCGCCGC
rnacentral:rRNA from 1 species